CCAUUACAAUGAUUAAUUGUUCUUAUUUUCUUUUUUUUUCUGGAACGUACGUAGAGCUUGUGGACAUGAGUUGAGUACCCAAUUGUCUUGGGAAGUGAAUAAGCUUCUGUUCCUCAAGCUUGUCUCAAUUUUCUGACUUCGUCUCUUCUUUACUUGCAGAUUAUAUAGUGUUCCAAGAAAAAUGUCGAGGGUGAACUUCGGCAUUAGUUGUCUCCACCGCUCAAACACCUUUGCAGCCAUCUUGUGUAGGUGGAGCCAUAGCUUGGCGUUGAAACACUGCACGGGGAUCUCUUUGGAGCAACUUCCCCACUGUUGUGAACUACUUUGCAGAACCAUACUUGAUGUGAACUGGCAGCCACCAGGCAUUCACCUGACAUACUCAUUUUUGCCACCCAUAUGCAAGACGCACAGCGAUACAGGCAUCAAAAACAAGUAUGGUGAACCCCCUUGAGCUUGAAGCUUGCUUCCGCCACCUAUGCGCAGGACGCACCGUAGUAUAGGCAUCGAAAGCAAGUGCAGCAUGGAGUGACAUCGCGGCUAUGAACGAGGGCUUAAUGUUGACUUUGUGUCUUGCCCGGAAGUCGUUGGUGAGAUUUGUGAGGAUGAAAGCAACGAGGGACUCUUGAAGAGAGGAUAGAGCAUUAACUUCUUGUUUGGAGUGCUCAUAGUCUUACAUGAUCACCUAUUAGCUUUCUGUAAUCAUAUAAUACAAAACAAAGAGAACACUUGAGUGAAAAUGAUAAUUGACAGCAUAUAGAAGAAAUUAUACCCACUGCUCUGUAUUUGUA